rnacentral:rRNA from 1 species
UAUAAUGGGUCAGCGACUUAUAUUCUGUAGCAAGGUUAACCGUAUAGGGGAGCCGAAGGGAAACCGAGUCUUAACUGGGCGUUAAGUUGCAGGGUAUAGACCCGAAACCCGGUGAUCUAGCCAUGGGCAGGUUGAAGGUUGGGUAACACUAACUGGAGGACCGAACCGACUAAUGUUGAAAAAUUAGCGGAUGACCUGUGGCUGGGGGUGAAAGGCCAAUCAAACCGGGAGAUAGCUGGUUCUCCCCGAAAGCUAUUUAGGUAGCGCCUCGUGAACUCAUCUUCGGGGGUAGAGCACUGUUUCGGCUAGGGGGCCAUCCCGGCUUACCAACCCGAUGCAAACUACGAAUACCGAAGAAUGUUAUCACGGGAGACACACGGCGGGUGCUAACGUCCGUCGUGAAGAGGGAAACAACCCAGACCGCCAGCUAAGGUCCCAAAGUCAUGGUUAAGUGGGAAACGAUGUGGGAAGGCCCAGACAGCCAGGAUGUUGGCUUAGAAGCAGCCAUCAUUUAAAGAAAGCGUAAUAGCUCACUGGUCGAGUCGGCCUGCGCGGAAGAUGUAACGGGGCUAAACCAUGCACCGAAGCUGCGGCAGCGACGCUUAUGCGUUGUUGGGUAGGGGAGCGUUCUGUAAGCCGUUGAAGGUGGUCUGUGAGGGCUGCUGGAGGUAUCAGAAGUGCGAAUGCUGACAUAAGUAACGAUAAAGCGGGUGAAAAGCCCGCUCGCCGGAAGACCAAGGGUUCCUGUCCAACGUUAAUCGGGGCAGGGUGAGUCGACCCCUAAGGCGAG